AGCACUUUUCCUUGCUGCCGCCAUGAGAAGAAGUAUGUGUUUUCUUCCCCUUCUGACAUGAUUGUUAAGUUUCCUGAGGCCUCCCCAGCCAUGCUGAACUGUAUUGCCUCCAGCACACUGUUUACAUUCCUACUGUGUCUCAGCAUCUGUUCUCCUGGGAAUAGAACUGGUCCACCUGAACAUAUGAUCUGUGCUGCUGUUGGUGCAGGAGGACAGGAGGGAAAUAAGCUGGAAGCCAUGGAUGUGGAGAGUCUGGCUUCAAGAUGGAGCUUGUUUACCUGCAGGGCCCCAUGCAGAACCUCAUGAGACGUGACUUCAGAGGCCUCCUCUCUGAAGGUGAGGGAGGCGUCAGCUGUUCAGAGAGAGAGGCUGCCUUGCCUGGGGACACACAGCUAGCCAGUGGCCGGAGCAGCAGUGGAUGCAGUUGUCCUGAUGCAUAGUUCAAGAAGCUUUUUUUUUUUUUUUUUUUUUCACGUGUGAAAACAUCUAUUGGGAAAAUGGAAAAAUCAUUUGACCUCAUAUUCCUCAUAGCUGACAUGACCUACAGGGAACGAAGAAGAAGGUUAAACGAGGACAAGAAGCUCUGAAGGCACCAUCCUCCACAUUGACAGAACCAUCUGGAGCAUGAAUUUGGGGAGAGCUUGGUUCUGAGACAGCGCUGCUCAGUCCCAUGCAGACACCAGCCCUGCUCCCUGCUCCGAUCAGAGUCAUAAGCCACGAUUCAUGCUGUUAAGAGCAAUUUUCAUUCUUAACCUUUCUGGUAUGUCUCUUCCUGAUCAGUUUGUCAGCCACUCCCUUUCUCAAAGUAUUUCUGUUCAUGACACCUUAAUUGAUUUUCCAUAUUUUUCUGUCCAGAGCUCAUUAAAAUCUCAUCUUCUUGCAUAUAAUAA
rnacentral:lncRNA from 10 species